GAUUUUGAAUGCAGGACUGUGGCACAGGAUCCCAGUGCAGGGUUUUGACACAGGACUUCGGUGCAGGAUUUUGGCACAGGAUUUUGGUGCAGGACUUUGGCACAGGAUCCCAGUGCAGGACUUUGGCGCAGGAUUGUGGUGCAGGACUUUGGCACGGGAUCCCAGUGCAGGGUUUUGGCACAGGGUUUUGGCGCAGGACUUUGGCACAGGAUCCCAAUGCAGGGUUUUGGUGCAGGGUUUUGGCACAGGACUUUGGUGCAGGACUUUGGCGCAGGAUCCCAGUGCAGGACUUUGGCACAGGAUUGUGGUGCAGGACUUUGACACCGGGUUUUGGCACAGGAUUUUGGUGCAGGACUUUGGCACAGGACCCCAGUGCAGGACUUUGUUGCAGGACUUUGUUGCAGGACUUUGUUGCAGGACUUUGUUGCAGGACUUUGGUGCAGGGUUUUGGCGCAGGAUUUUGGUGCAGGACUUUGGCACAGGAUGGCAUUGCGAGAUGUUGGCGCAGGAUUUCGCUGCGGCAGCCGCAGGGAUUCCCCCAGCCCUCUCUGACACCCGGCCCGGCUCAUUACAGGCCGGGAUGUGAGCGCAGCCCCGCAGCGCCAUGGGGAACUCGGCGAGCCGCCCCGGCUGCCUGGGCCAGAAGAGCCGCCGCUCCGAGGAGCCGCCGGUGCCGGAUGAGGGCGCCGGAAAAACGCCGACGGAGAACGGCUGGAGCGCGGCGGGGCCACGGCGCAGCCCAGCGCUUCAACGCUGCCUCUCGGAGGCGGCGGUGCAGAACGGCGGCGCCGCGUGCGUGGCGUUGCGAGCGCCGGGAUGGGAAGGGGAGGCCGCCUGGACCCCCCCCCCCCCGGGCGCCGCGUGGGCCGCGGUCGUGGCAGCCGCUCAGCGCGAGGGAGGUGACGGAGGUGACGGAGGUGACGGAGACCAUCGUGACGGAGAUCGUGGAGGUCACCCGAUAUCCGGCGGGGGGGGGACGCCGUGCUGACGGAUGGCAGCGACGGCCACGAGGUGAUGGCCGAGCGGCGGACCCCAAAAGGGACGGCUGAGUGCCGAGCCCCGGGGCCGUGGGGAUCCCGGUGUCCCCAGCCAUCCCAAUAGGGAUCCCGGUGUCCCCAGCUGUCCCAACAGGGAUCCCAGUGUCCCCAGCUGUCUCCAUAGGGAUCCCAGAGUCCUUAGUUGUCCCCAUAGGGAUCCCUGAGCCCCCAGCUGUCCCUAUGGGGAUCCCAGACCCCCAGUUGUCCCCAUAGGGAUCUUGGUGCCUGCCCCCAGCUGUCCCUAUGGGGAUCCCAGAGCCCCCAGCUGUCCCUAUAGGGAUCUUGGUGCCGCCAGUUCUCCCCAUAGGGAUCCCGGUGUCCCCAGUUGUCCCUGUGGGAUUCCAGGGCCCCCAGUUGUCCCUAUGGGGAUCCCAGAGCCCUCAGUUGUCCCCAUAGGGAUCCCGGUGUCCCCAGCCGUCCCAAUAGGGAUCCCGGUGUCCCCAGUUGUCCCUGUGGGAUUCCAGGGCCCCCAGUUGUCCCUAUGGGGAUCCCAGAGCCCUCAGUUGUCCCCAUAGGGAUCCCGGUGUCCCCAGCUGUUCCAAUAGGGAUCCCGGUGUCCCCACCAUCCCCAUAGGGAUCCCAGAGCCCCCAGUUGUCCCAAUAGGGAUCCCGGUGUCCCCAGUUGUCCCUGUGGGAUUCCAGGGCCCCCAGCUGUCCCUAUGGGGAUCCCUGAGCCCCCAGUUGUCUCUGUGGGAUCUUGGUGCCCCCAGCUGUCCCUAUGGGGAUCCCGGUGUCCCCAGCCAUCCCUGUGGGAUCCUGGUGUCCCCAGUUGUCCCUGUGUGGAUCUUGGUGCCUCCAACCGUCCUUAUGGGGAUCCCAGAGCCCCCAGUUGUCCCAAUAGGGAUCCCGGUGUCCCCAGCCGUCCCUAUGGGGAUCCCGGUGCCCCCAGCUGUCCCAAUAGGGAUCCUGGUGUCCCCAGCCGUCCCAAUAGGGAUCCCGGUGUCCCCAGUUGUCCCUAUGUGGAUCUUGGUGCCUCCAACUGCCCCUAUGGGGAUCCCAGAGCCCCCAGCUGUCCCCAUAGGGAUCUUGGAGCCUCCAGCUGUCCCCAUAGGGAUCCCAGAGUCCUCAGUUGUCCCCAUAGGGAUCCCUGAGCCCCUAGCUGUCCCAAUAGGGAUCUUGGUGCCCCCAGCUGUCCCUAUGGGGAUCCCGGUGUCCCCAGCCGUCCCUAUGGGGACCACAGUGCCCCUGGCUGGCCCCAUGGCUGUCAGGAGCUUGCUGUGCCCAGCUGUUCCCAUGGGAAUCCCAGAGCCCCAGUUGUCCCCAUAGGGAUCUUGGUGCCACCAGUUCUCCCCAUAGGGAUACUGGUGCCCCCAGCUGUCCCUAUGGGGAUCCCGGUGCCCCCAGCUGUCCCUAUGGGGAUCCCGGUGUCCCCAGCUGUCCCCAUAGGGAUCCCAGAGUCCUCAGUUGUCCCCAUAGGGAUCCUGGUGUCCUCAGCCGUCCCUAUGGGGAUCUUGGUUCCCCCAGCUGUCCCCAUAGGGAUCCCGGUGCCCCCAGCUGUCCCUAUGGGGAUCCCAGUGCCCCCAGCUGUCCCUAUGGGGAUCCCAGACCCCCAGUUGUCCCCAUAGGGAUCCUGGUGUCCCCAGCUCUCCCCAUAGGGAUCCCAAAGUCCUCAGUUGUCCCCAUAGGGAUCCCAGAGCCCCCAGCUGUCCCUAUGGGGAUCUUGGUGCCCCCAGCUGUCCCUAUGGGGAUCCCAGUGCCCCCAGUUGUCCCUAUGGGGAUCCCAGAGCCCCCAGCUGUCCCCAUAGGGAUCCCGGUGCCCCCAGCUGUCCCUAUGGGGAUCCCGGUGCCCCCAGUUUUCCCAGUAGGGAUCCCAGAGCCCCCAGUUGUCCCUAUGAGGAUCCCAGUGCCCCCAGUUGUCCCCAUAGGGAUCCCAGAACCCCCAGUUGUCCCCAUAGGGAUCUUGGUGCCCCCAGUUGUCCCCAUAGGGAUCCCAGAACCCCCAGCUGUCCCUAUGGGGAUCUUGGUGCCCCCAGUUGUCCCUAUGGUGAUCCCAGAGCCCCCAGCUGUCCCUAUGAGGAUCCCAGUGCCCUCAGCUGUCCCUAUGGGGAUCCCAGAGCCCCCAGUUGUCCCCAUAGGGAUCCCAGAACCCCCAGCUGUCCCUAUGGGGAUCUUGGUGCCCCCAGUUGUCCCUAUGGUGAUCCCAGAGCCCCCAGCUGUCCCUAUGAGGAUCCCAGUGCCCUCAGCUGUCCCUAUGGGGAUCCCAGAGCCCCCAGUUGUCCCCAUAGGGAUCCCAGAACCCCCAGCUGUCCCUAUGGGGAUCUUGGUGCCCCCAGUUGUCCCUAUAGGGAUCCUGGUGCCCCCAGCUGUCCCUAUGGGGAUCUUGGUGCCCCCAGCUGUCCCCAUAGGGAUCCCAGAGUCAUCAGUUGUCCCUAUAGGGAUCCCAGUGCCCCCAGCUGUCCCUAUGGGGAUCCCAGAGCCCCCAGUUGUCCCCAUAGGGAUCCCAGAGCCCCCAGUUGUCCCUAUGGGGAUCCCAGAGCCCCCAGCUGUCCCUAUGGGGAUCCCAGAGCCCCCAGCUGUCCCUAUGGGGAUCCCAGUCCCCUCUGCCCAGUUCCAGGAGUCUCCUCAGGUCCAUCUGCAGUGCUGCAGCCCUGCGCUUGGGCCUGCAGUGGUGCUGCACGUCUGCAGGGCUGCAGUGGUGCCCGCUGUGCGCCCUGGGUUGUGUGCGUGGUGCUGGGACUUCCCUGGUCUGGGGACUCGGGGAUCAUGGGGACAUGGGGACCAAAGGGACCAAAGGGACCAAAGGGACCAAAGGGACCAAAGGGACGUGGGAAUGUGGGGACUUGGGGACCAAAGGGACCAAAGGGACCAAAGGGACGUGGGAAUGUGGGGACAUGGGGACUAAAGGGACCAAAGGGACCAAAGGGACGUGGGAUUGUGGGGACAUGGGGACCAAAGGGACCAAAGGGACCAAAGGGACGUGGGAAUGUGGGGACAUGGGGACCAAAGGGACCAAAGGGACCAAAGGGACGUGGGAAUGUGGGGACUUGGGGACAUGGGGACAUCGUGGGGAUGUGGGGACACUGCAGGGAGCUCAGGUGGGCCGGGACCCCCCUGGCAGUGAACCCGGGGGGGGAUCCCCCUCUCCCCAGCAGUGUCUCCCUGCAGGUCGCCCCCCAGGCCGUCCCCGAGGACACCCUGCAGGCCCUGCUGGCCUGGGUGGCCGACAUGGAGGAGCUGGUGGGCAACCAGAAGCCGCCGGCUGCUGAUGUCAAGGUGGCGAAGGCGCAGCUGGAGGAGCAGAAGCUCCUGCGACGGCUGCUGGAGGAGCGGCGGCCCCGCGUGGAGCGCGGCCUGCAGGAGGAACCCGAGCGUGAAGACGUGGCUGCGCUGCGGCAGCGCUGGGGGCGGCUGCUGGAUGAGGUGCAGCACAGGUUCGUGUUCCUGGAGCGCAUCGUCCCGGCGGCGCAGCGUUUCCAGCAGGGCGCCGAUUCCUUCCAGGAGUGGCUGGCGGCCACCGAGCGGCUGCUGGCGCAGCUCUGGGGACCAAGGGAUGCGGGGACGGCCUGAGGGAUGCGCAUCGACGG